rnacentral:rRNA from 1 species
UACGUAGGGUCCGGAGCGUUGUUCCGGAAUUACUGGGCGUAAAGAGCUCGUAGGUGGUUUGUCGCGUUGUUCGUGAAAACUCACAGCUCAACUGUGGGCGUGCGGGCGAUACGGGCAGACUGGAGUACUGCAGGGGAGACUGGAAUUCCUGGUGUAGCGGUGGAAUGCGCAGAUAUCAGGAGGAACACCGGUGGCGAAGGCGGGGUCUCUGGGGCAGUAACUGACGCUGAGGAGCGAAAGCGUGGGGAGCGAACAGG